rnacentral:rRNA from 1 species
GGGGACUCGGGUAGCGGCGGACGGGUGAGUAACGCGUGGGAACAUACCUUUCACUACGGAAUAGCCCCGGGAAACUGGGAGUAAUACCGUAUACGCCCUUUUGGGGAAAGAUUUAUCGGUGAGAGAUUGGCCCGCGUUGGAUUAGGUAGUUGGUGGGGUAAUGGCCUACCAAGCCGACGAUCCAUAGCUGGUUUGAGAGGAUGAUCAGCCACACUGGGACUGAGACACGGCCCAGACUCCUACGGGAGGCAGCAGUGGGGAAUCUUAGACAAUGGGGGCAACCCUGAUCUAGCCAUGCCGCGUGUGUGAUGAAGGCCCUAGGGUCGUAAAGCACUUUCGCCAGGGAUGAUAAUGACAGUACCUGGUAAAGAAACCCCGGCUAACUCCGUGCCAGCAGCCGCGGUAAUACGGAGGGGGUUAGCGUUGUUCGGAAUUACUGGGCGUAAAGCGUACGUAGGCGGAUUAGUCAGUCAGAGGUGAAAUCCCAGGGCUCAACCCUGGAACUGCCUUUGAUACUGCUAGUCUUGAGUUCGAGAGAGGUGAGUGGAAUUCCGAGUGUAGAGGUGAAAUUCGUAGAUAUUCGGAGGAACACCAGUGGCGAAGGCGGCUCACUGGCUCGAUACUGACGCUGAGGUACGAAAGUGUGGGGA